rnacentral:rRNA from 1 species
AUGCAAACCUGCCUGUAAAGCGGGGAAUAACCCUUGAAAGACGGACUAAUACCGCAUAAUAUAAAUUACUGCAUGGUAAUUUAUUUAAACAUUUAUGGCUUACAGAUGGGCAUGCGCAUGAUUAGCUAGUUGGAGAGGUAACGGCUCCCCAAGGCAACGAUCAUUAGGGGUUCUGAGAGGAAGGUCCCCCCACACUGGUACUGAGACACGGACCAGACUCCUACGGGAGGCAGCAGUGAGGAAUAUUGGUCAAUGGACGAGAGUCUGAACCAGCCAAGUCGCGUGCAGGAAGAAUGUCCUAUGGAUUGUAAACUGCUUUUGCAGGGGAAUAAAGUGCAUCACGUGUGAUGUUUUGUAUGUACUCUGCGAAUAAGGAUCGGCUAACUCCGUGCCAGCCGCCGC